UUCAUGGUCCGGUGAAAGUGUUCGGAUCGCUCCGACGUGGGCGGUUCGCUGCCCGCGACGUAGCGAGAAGUCCACUGAACCUUAUCAUUUAGAGGAAGGAGAAGUCGUAACAAGGUUUCCGUAGGUGAACCUGCGGAAGGAUCAUUG
rnacentral:rRNA from 1 species